rnacentral:lncRNA from 1 species
AUCCGUCAUCAAAAUUUUUCUCCCAUCCUUGCUACUUUCAUGAUCUACGAUCAACAAGGAAAGAUCUGAUCUUGACAAAAGAGGGGGAAUGAUUUUUUUUAUUAGUGAGAAUGGACGGAUGUAGAGGGGCCAUCUAAAGAAAUAGAGUUCAUGGGUUGGUUUGAAGGAGAAAGAGGAUGAGGAGGAAGGAGAGGAGAAGAGGAUGG